rnacentral:rRNA from 1 species
AGAACGAACGCUGGCGGCAUGCCUAACACAUGCAGGUCGAACGAGACCUUCGGGUCUAGUGGCGCACGGGUGCGUAACGCGUGGGAAUCUGCCCUUGGGUACGGAAUAACAGUUAGAAAUGACUGCUAAUACCGUAUAAUGACUUCGGUCCAAAGAUUUAUCGCCCAGGGAUGAGCCCGCGUAGGAUUAGCUUGUUGGUGAGGUAAAGGCUCACCAAGGCGACGAUCCUUAGCUGGUCUGAGAGGAUGAUCAGCCACACUGGGACUGAGACACGGCCCAGACUCCUACGGGAGGCAGCAGUGGGAAUAUUGGACAAUGGGCGCAAGCCUGAUCCAGCCAUGCCGCGUGCAGGAUGAAGGCCUUCGGGUUGUAAACUGCUUUUGUACGGAACGAAAAGGUUCUUUCUAAUAAAGAGAGCUCAUGACGGUACCGUAAGAAUAAGCACGGCUAACUACGUGCCAGCAGCCGC